UGCAGCAGUCAUGUCCCCACCGAUUUUAAGUCCUGUCAUUCCUUGCUCAAUGCUGUUUAUCCCUGGCACUUUGCUUAAAGUAUCACUGCCAAAACCAGCUUGUCCGUCAGCAAUGGCUCUACCGAGGGAACUAGUGAUUUAACAAGUAAAGCUGCAAGACAAAGAACAUGAAUCAACAAGAAAUUGAGAAAACAAAGUCUCUGCUGCAAACCAUUACAAAGAAAAGACACCCAACUGAAAAACCCAAACCAGGAAUUACUCACCGGGCAACUUCCAUGCUACACAAGACUUACUCAGUAGUAACACCACCAAGCACGUGUAAGGCUAGCCACCAGUGAUCUGAUCCUACCGUACAGGACAUAUAUCCGGCUAAUGUAGGGUGGCGAUAGCAUGGAGUAAGGUUAUGUUUAUACCUAUAGAGUAUGUCAAGGCAUACAGGUCUCUGCAACAACGUGGAAAAAGAAAGAAAAAGGUCACUGGAAUUAAAUACACAGAAAAUUCUUUAGAAGUCAGAACAGCAAACGCCUACACAAAGUACACUGCACAAAAAAAUAAAGGGAACACUUAAACAACACAA